GCUCAGCAGAAAGAAAGAGAACUGCAGUGAGAGAGAUUCUUCCCACUGUCAAAAUGGUGCCAUUAUAUAGGUCGACUUUUGUCUGGACCAUCUAUACAUGAACUUUUGGAGCCCUCUCAGUACUGUAAGCCCUUGCAUUCAGAUUCUAAGUGGAAGUAACCUUCAGAAGAAUGUGAUUUGAACUGAUUUACUCAC